rnacentral:rRNA from 1 species
CGAACGCUGGCGGCGUGCUUAACACAUGCAAGUCGAACGCGAAAGGGACUUCGGUCCUGAGUAAAGUGGCGCACGGGUGAGUAACGCGUAGAUAACCUGUCUUCAUGUCUGGAAUAAUACGCCGAAAGGGGUACUAAUACCGGAUAUUCUUGCUUUUCAUAAGUUAUGCAAGCAAAGGUGGCCUCUGCAUAUGCUACUGCAUGAAGAGGGGUCUGCGUACCAUUAGCUAGUAGGUGGGGUAAUGGCCUACCUAGGCGACGAUGGUUAGCGGGUCUGAGAGGAUGAUCCGCCACACUGGCACUGGAACACGGGCCAGACUCCUACGGGAGGCAGCAGUGAGGAAUAUUGCGCAAUGGGGGAAACCCUGACGCAGCGACGCCGCGUGAGUGAGGAAAGGCCUUCGGGUCGUAAAGCUCUGUCAAGAGGAAAGAAGUGUACAAUGGCUAAUACCUGUUGUAUUUGACGGUACCUCUAAAGGAAGCACCGGCUAACUCCGUGCCAGCAGCUGC